GAUGAACGCUGGCGGCGUGCUUAACACAUGCAAGCGAACGAACCUUCGGGGUUAGUGGCGGACGGGUGAGUAACGCGUGAGAAUCUGCCCUCAGGAGGGGGAUAACGGCUGGAAACGGCCGCUAAUACCCCAUAUGCCGAGAGGUGAAAUGAAUUUCGCCUGAGGAUGAGCUCGCGUCUGAUUAGCUUGUUGGUGGGGUAAUGGCCUACCAAGGCAACGAUCAGUAGCUGGUCUGAGAGGAUGAUCAGCCACACUGGGACUGAGACACGGCCCAGACUCCUACGGGAGGCAGCAGUGGGGAAUUUUCCGCAAUGGGCGAAAGCCUGACGGAGCAACGCCGCGUGAGGGAUGAAGGCCUCUGGGCUGUAAACCUCUUUUAUCAAGGAAGAAGAUCUGACGGUACUUGAUGAAUAAGCCACGGCUAAUUCCGUG
rnacentral:rRNA from 1 species